CCAAUAGCGUAUAUUAAAGUUGUUGCAGUUAAAAAGCUCGUAGUUGAAUUUCGGGGUCAGCAGGUUGGUCGUGCCAAUGGUAUGCACUGGCCUUGCUGAUUCCUCCCUCUUGAUGAGCCGUAAUGUCAUUAAUUUGGUGUUGCGGGGAAUCAGGACUGUUACUUUGAAAAAAUUAGUGUGUUUAAAGCAGGCAAGCGCUUGAAUACAUUAGCAUGGAAUAAUGAAAUAGGACGUUUGAUCCUAUUUUGUUGGUUUCUAGGAUUGACGUAAUGAUUAAUAGGGAUAGUUGGGGGCAUUAGUAUUCAAUUGUCAGAGGUGAAAUUCUUGGAUUUAUUGAAGACUAACUACUGCGAAAGCAUUUGCCAAGGAUGUUUUCAUUAAUCAAGAACGAAAGUUAGGGGAUCGAAGACGAUCAGAUACCGUCGUAGUCUUAACCAUAAACUAUGCCGACUAGGGAUCGGAUGAUGUUAAUUUUUUAAUGACUCAUUCGGCGCCUUACG
rnacentral:rRNA from 1 species